AUCCUUCAGUUCGUGAACGUGAUGACUGGGUAUUCAUGUUGUGCUCACGAGAUACGCCUCCCUCAAGCCCUGUAAUGGUGGUGCAUUACCUGUCCGAUG